rnacentral:rRNA from 1 species
GCAUUGGAACCACCUGAUCCCAUCCCGAACUCAGUAGUGAAACGAUGCAUCGCCGAUGGUAGUGUGGGGUCUCCCCAUGUGAGAGUAGGUCAUCGUCAAGA